rnacentral:rRNA from 1 species
UACGUAGGGUGCAAGCGUUGCUCGGAAUUACUGGGCGUAAAGCGUGCGCAGGCGGUCUUGCAAGUCAGAUGUGAAAUCCCCGGGCUUAACCUGGGAACUGCAUUUGUGACUGCAAGGCUGGAGUACGGCAGAGGGGGAUGGAAUUCCGCGUGUAGCAGUGAAAUGCGUAGAUAUGCGGAGGAACACCGAUGGCGAAGGCAAUCCCCUGGGCCGGUACUGACGCUCAUGCACGAAAGCGUGGGGAGCAAACAGG